rnacentral:rRNA from 1 species
UACGAAGGGGGCUAGCGUUGCUCGGAAUCACUGGGCGUAAAGCGCACGUAGGCGGCUCUUUAAGUCAGGGGUGAAAUCCUGGAGCUCAACUCCAGAACUGCCUUUGAUACUGGGGAUCUCGAGUCCGGAAGAGGUGAGUGGAACUCCGAGUGUAGAGGUGAAAUCCGUAGAUAUUCGGAAGAACACCAGUGGCGAAGGCGGCUCACUGGUCCGGUACUGACGCUGAGGUGCGAAAGCGUGGGGAGCAAACAGG